rnacentral:lncRNA from 1 species
GAGGGUGGUUAGUGGAAGCAACUGCCAUGGGUUCCUUUUCAUCCGCGCUGACUAAAUCCAUUGCCAUCGCGCUUCUUGUGAGGCCCAGAGGGAGCAUGCGAAGGGGAGAGGCAGCACCAAAGUUGAAGCGAAUCCAUAGGCGUACCAGUGUGUCUCCGGUUCCUUGAUGCGGAGACAAUGGUGUGGUUGACCGUAGGUGUGUGUCCUCGGAGGAGCUUGGAUGAGAAUCUCACAUGAAGAUAAGUCGACUUUUAAUUCAACGAACCCUUUUCUGCAAAAGCUUGUGCCCCAGUGGGGGAAUUAAGGAGGAAUUAUAUUCUUGGAGAUGUUGAAAAAAGAUUCCUGGGUCUUGGAAGAUAAUUACUAGAAAUAUGCAGGUAUUUGACGUAACAUGGAGUAAAGAUGCAAAUACACAGCAGCAGAGUUAGAGGAGGUUGCCUUUCCCCCCAAAGCUUGAAUUUUAUCCAGUGUGUGCUUCUGAUCAUUGGAAACCUUGUCUAACAACAGAAACAGCAUAUAAAGCAUAACCAGCUUUGAAAUGUAUUAAGGCGUGGUUGCCCGUCCCAUGUCAGGCUUGAUGUUGAAAAGACGACACUGCCAAGUUAGCAGAAGAAACAAAUCGAAGGGUGUUGUUCUCCAAGAACACCAUUUAUCAGAUUUAUCAAGAAUUCAAAGAUUUAUAUAAUAAGGUAGUCCGUCCUUUGCACCAUUUCAACAUAUGCCUGAAUAUCAGUUUUCACACUGUAGACAAUACCUGUCCCCCAACGAGACUGAACUUUUAGUCACAGUACUAACUGAAUUAUUCCGUAAACGUUGCUGCUAGCUCUUUAUUCCAGAAUCAUUAUGCAAAUAAAAGAUGUGCCUCAUGAAUCUACUUUGGAUUGAGGACUGUAAUAAAAAACAGUUACAUCACUUCUUUCAGAUUCUUGGUGAUUGAAAACAUCCAUUAGCUGCAGAUGGUAAAGCUGUGUUCUUCCUUGUCUCCCAUGCAACAUUUUACAAAAAUGGAUCAUCAGAAGAGGGAAUUGGUCAACAGAUAUGACAGCAAAGAAAUGAAAAAAAAAAAAGGGGGGGUUUCAACAUCUUGUAGUUUAAAUUGCACUAGGAGCGGAAAGCUGCUUAUGGUUGAAAUGGAGCCUUUAUUUCUACUUUGGAUUAAGGACUGUAAUCAAAAACAAAUCCCAUUCAGUUAGGCACUGAAGUUAGUUGCUACAUGUAAGGAAAAUGCUAAUUACAAGGACAUCUUUUUAGUACCAGUAAAGGCUGGUUUCAUCAUUUUAGAAGUUAACAUGAAUUGAUUAAUGUUAAGCUAUCUGGUGAAGCUACAAGCUCAAAUAAGAAUGCUACUGUGAAAUUUGCACCCAGAUUCCAAGAAUUACAGGCAUUCCUCAUUUUGCACAGUAGUGAGAGACGACUGCAAAAAACUGCGAGAUUCGGAUGGAAUGUAAAUGGAGUUAAGGAAGGUAAUGAUGACCAUGGGAACACUGCUGCCUGCCAUUCAAGGAACAGUUCUAGACAUGCGGGAAGCAGAACUUAAGGUGAAGUUCCAAGUGAAGAAAGCGGUUGUAAAGCAUGAGUGCAUCUCAGGAAGUGAUGGUGUUGACAGACUUAGGCUGAAGGAGCUCUGCAGAGAUCCAUCGUGACAUUGACAGCACAGAGGACAAAUUUUGGAAGGUGAUUCAGACUUAGAAAGGAGGAUGGCAAUUUACGAAGGCAUAGACAAGAUGCUCAGUAAGUUGUAAGAUGAGUAGAAGGCAGCACUUUUCAAACUAUAUUUUUUAUAAAGAAAACAGUUUCAAUGUUUCUAGUGUUUUAAAUGACUUUAUUACAUUUAUAACCAACA